UGGUUAGCGGCGGACGGGUGAGUAACACGUGGGCAACCUGCCUGUAAGACUGGGAUAACACCGGGAAACCGGUGCUAAUACCGGAUAAUCCUUUUCCUCUCAUGAGGAAAAGCUGAAAGUCGGUUUCGGCUGACACUUACAGAUGGGCCCGCGGCGCAUUAGCUAGUUGGUGAGGUAACGGCUCACCAAGGCGACGAUGCGUAGCCGACCUGAGAGGGUGAUCGGCCACACUGGGACUGAGACACGGCCCAGACUCCUACGGGAGGCAGCAGUAGGGAAUCUUCCACAAUGGACGAAAGUCUGAUGGAGCAACGCCGCGUGAGCGAUGAAGGCCUUCGGGUCGUAAAGCUCUGUUGUUAGGGAAGAACAAGUACCGGAGUAACUGCCGGUACCUUGACGGUACCUAACCAGAAAGCCACGGCUAA
rnacentral:rRNA from 1 species